rnacentral:rRNA from 1 species
AACGAACGCUGGCGGCAUGCCUAACACAUGCAAGUCGAACGAGACCUUCGGGUCUAGUGGCGCACGGGUGCGUAACGCGUGGGAACCUGCCCUUAGGUUCGGAAUAACUCCCCGAAAGGGGUGCUAAUACCGGAUAAUGUCUUCGGACCAAAGAUUUAUCGCCUUUGGAUGGGCCCGCGUUGGAUUAGCUAGUUGGUAGGGUAAAAGCCUACCAAGGCGACGAUCCAUAGCUGGUCUGAGAGGAUGAUCAGCCACACUGGGACUGAGACACGGCCCAGACACGAAGGGAGGGAAGAAGGGGGGAAAAUGGGAAAAGGGGGAAAAGCAGGAAAAGGAAAGGCCGGGGGAGUGAGGAAGGCUGUAGGGUGGAAAAGCGCUUUAAACAGGGAGGAAAAGAAAGGAACGGGGAAAAAAAGGCCGGGAAAAAACGGG